UUAACUCAAAAUUAGUUUAUUUCAAAUCAUCCUUUGAAAGGAACUCUAACAACAUUUUACUAUUAACUUUUAAAAUGGACAAAUUCCAAUCCACAUAUUUUCCACAGCAGGAAAUGUUUAAUGCGUAAAUGUAUGAAAGGCUUGAAACACAUUUUAAAAGGCCAAAGUCCCCUUUUUAAAACCAACUGUGUGGAUGAAUAGAAUCUGACAGUAGCCAGCAACACAAGCCAGUCUGUUGUCAUUAUGUAACCUGGAGUGAAUCUAGCCAAGCCUCACAGGGUCUUACAGUAGGCAGCCUGGGUCUGUUCCGGACUGGGCCACAACAGAACAGCAGGAACCCUCCCUAGCUCUGGACCCUGUUAGACGUAUCCACAAAGCGUCUUAGUGUAGUGUUUUAGAUUCAAAUGAUUCAGAUUGUUAGGGACAAGGAGGACCUGAUCCUAGACCAGUACUACUCUUAAAGACGCUUUGUGGAGAGACUACCCUCCUCAGAACCAACAGUAGAACAGAGGUUAUCCUCAGAACCAACAGUAGAACAGAGGUAAUCCUCCUCAGAACCAACAGUAGAACAGAGAGGCUAUCCUCCUCAGAACCAACAGUAGAGCAGAGAGAUAAUCCUCCUCAGAACCAACAGUAGAACAGAGAGGUUAUCCUCCUCAGAACCAACAGUAGAACAGAGGUUAUCCUCCUCAGAACCAACAGUAGAACAGGGAGGUUAUCCUCCCCAAAACCAACAGUAGAACAGAGAUGUUAUCCUCCUCAGAACCAACAGUAGAACAGAGAGAGAGGUUAUCCUCCUCAAAACCAACAGUAGAACAGAGAUGUUAUCCUCCUCAAAACCAACAGUAGAACAGAGAUGUUAUCCUCAGAACCAACAGUAGAACAGAGAGGUUAUCCUCCUCAGAACCAACAGUAGAGCAGAGAGAGAGGUUAUCCUCCUCAGAACCAACAGUAGAACAGAGAGAG
ensembl:lncRNA